AGUGAACGCUGGCGGUAGGCCUAACACAUGCAAGUCGAACGGCAGCACAGUAAGAGCUUGCUCUUACGGGUGGCGAGUGGCGGACGGGUGAGGAAUACAUCGGAAUCUACUUUUUCGUGGGGGAUAACGUAGGGAAACUUACGCUAAUACCGCAUACGACCUACGGGUGAAAGCAGGGGAUCUUCGGACCUUGCGCGAUUGAAUGGGCCGAUGUCGGAUUAGCUAGUUGGCGGGGUAAAGGCCCACCAAGGCGACGAUCCGUAGCUGGUCUGAGAGGAUGAUCAGCCACACUGGAACUGAGACACGGUCCAGACUCCUACGGGAGGCAGCAGUGGGGAAUAUUGGACAAUGGGCGCAAGCCUGAUCCAGCCAUACCGCGUGGGUGAAGAAGGCCUUCGGGUUGUAAAGCCCUUUUGUUGGGAAAGAAAAGCAGCAGGUUAAUACCCCGCUGUUCUGACGGUACCAAAGAAUAAGCACCGGCUAACUUCGUG
rnacentral:rRNA from 1 species